CAGUCGCCGCGGUAAUACGUAGGGUGCAAGCGUUAAUCGGAAUUACUGGGCGUAAAGCGUGCGCAGGCGGUUUGUUAAGACAGAUGUGAAAUCCCCGGGCUCAACCUGGGAACUGCAUUUGUGACUGGCAAGCUAGAGUGUGGCAGAGGGGGGUGGAAUUCCGCGUGUAGCAGUGAAAUGCGUAGAUAUGCGGAGGAACACCGAUGGCGAAGGCAGCCCCCUGGGCCAACACUGACGCUCAUGCACGAAAGCGUGGGGAGCAAACAGGAUUAGAUACCCGUGUAGUCCCUGUCUCUUAUAC
rnacentral:rRNA from 1 species